rnacentral:rRNA from 1 species
AGCGAACGCUGGCGGUAGGCCUAACACAUGCAAGUCGAACGGCAGCACAGUAAGAGCGUGCGCUUACGGGGGGCGAGUGGCGGACGGGUGAGGAAUACAUCGGAAUCUACUUUUUCGGGGGGGAUAAGGAAGGGAAGGUUACGCUAAGACCGCAUACGACCUACGGGGGAAAGCAGGGGAUCGUCUGAGCGGGCGGGAAUGAAUGAGCCGAUGAUGGAGUAGCUGGUUGGCGGGGUAAAGGCCCACGAAGGCGACGAUACGUAGCCGGUCUGAGAGACUGGUCGGCCACCCUGGAACUGAGACACGGUCCAGGCUCCUACGGGAGGCAGCAGUCGGGUAUAUUGGACAAUGGGCGCAAGCCUGGUCCAGCCAUCCCGCGUCUGUGACGACGGCCUUCGGGUUGUAAAGCCCUUUUGUUGGGAGAGAACCGCAGCCGGUUAAUACCACGCUGUUCUGACGGUACCCAGAGAAUAAGCACCGGCUAACUUCGUG